GGGCUGUUAGCUCAGUUGGUAGAGCACCGCGUUUGCAACGCGGGGGUCAAGGGUUCGAGUCCCUUACAGUCCA
rnacentral:tRNA from 1 species